UUAUAGAGCCCGACUCAAAUUUGUAUAGCCCCUUUGUCUCUAUCUCUAUCUCUUUCUCUCUUCACAUGCAGAGCCUCGUCAGAUGUUAUGGAUGUCGUCGCCAUCGCCAACGACUGAAUCAUCACAAUGUCGUUUUUCUCUUCGAUUAUCGAAGUACUAUUUCGUGAUUUCAUGAAUCAUCAUAACGUCGUUCUCGUUCUUCAAGCAGUCGAGGCCUAAGACACCACAGGAAUUGGCGAAGGCGAUAAAGGAUAGUCUCAUGGUGAUCGAUUCCAUUACUGCAGCUAAGCUAAGCUUCAAGUUCCGCAACAUUUUCAGUGGAAAAUGUGAUUAUAAUUUGUGAUUCGCUGGUUCUAAUUUUUCUGUUGUUAUUGGUUUAUUAUAAUUUUUGUCUUCUAUUGAAGGUAAUUUGAGCAUUAACAGUCAAUUUAGUUAAUUUUGGAGCAACACGGACUUCUUCAUCUUCUUCUACUACAUUUUUUUUUACUGUAUCGAUAUUCUUGAGGAAAUUGUGAUUUGUUUUACUUAGAAGAUAUUAUAAAGUAGUCAAACUUUUCGAAAUGGGUGUGUAGAUGCAAGUAAAAUCACAAUUUUUAACAGUGAAGAGAUGAUUGAUUUCUUAUAUAGGUUCUAAUUUUUAGUUAAAAGGAUGAGUUGAUCCGUAGAAUGAGUUCAGGCUAUUCAGUUCAGAUAUUAGUUUGUGAUUUGAUCUCAUGCCUUCCAGAACUGAAUAUCCACAUGGACCACAUCUAAAAUAUCAGAUACAAUCAGCUAAGAAUUCAGACAGUGCAAUUCAAAUUAUUUGUUUUUUGCAACACUUUUUCAUAUAAGCAGGCAACUAAUUAUUCAUUCUAAGGGAAACUCAAUCUAGCUAAGCACUUCUGAAAUAGCACUAGAGCACUAUUUCUAAUCACUUUUCUUUCAAUAAAUUUGUAUUCCUAUUAACAAACUUUCCUUGAGUAUUACUGCUGAAACUAAUUCUAGAGAACCAUCUGUUGUAGAGAGCAAUCUUCUCAAAAUGGUUCAGGUAUAAAUUGGGGCAAGAACACUUGUGGUGUUAUUCUUGAGUUUGUCUUCCUUUCUCCUAUUUUUAGCUAUUAUACAAAAAUUGCUUUCCUGUGGAUACAUUUUGGUCAUGUCUUGUUAUGUCAGUGUUGUUUGACAAUAUGCACUGUGGCAGCUAUGAUAACAAGGGAAAUGCUCUAACUUGUGGACACAUGCUGAGGGAGUGCAUCAAAUGAAAAGUAGUUUGGUUUCUUUCUCAAUAAGGAUGAUAUAGCAGAGUUGAGAAAUAACAUGCACGAUUUCUCAUCUAAUCAUAUAAUCCCUCUUAUGAAGCUGAAAAUUUGUGUUCUUAACCAGCGGGUUUCAGCGAUUUGGAUCAUUUGACGAAUCUAUGCAACUACUCAAGAAACUUAUAAAGCAGUUGAGGAGAAAUGCCUUAGAAGAGGCUUUAGUCAAAUUGAACGUAAACAGAGAAGUGUUAUGAACUUUACUGAUUAUCAGAAGAUGCCGGAGAAGAACAUGAGUUUUGCAGUUUUACGCCUCUUUCAGAUUGUUUAUUUUAUAAAUUUAUAAUUCAUUAUAAAAUUUAAAUGGUGGCUAUAA